GCUGUGGCUAAUCACAAUCUCUGAAUGCGCAGCACAACCAUCUGACAGGCGGCUCUCCUCUCCCUCAGCCUGGAGAUGGUCCCAGAUUGUCAUGAGACAGACCACCUUGCUCCUAGUGGCACACAGGACGUACACAAUGGCUGCGCAUGGAGUUAAUGACAUGAAAGUGCCACACUGACGUCUGCCCGUCCGGAGUAGCUGUUAACCCCGGGCAUUUUAUUGCCCCAUUUGCCAGGUGAUUCAGCUGAGGAGGGGAAGUGACUUUCCCACGAUCUCGGGGUUAAGACGAUGCAGAACCCGGACUCCAGCCCACUGAUUCUGUUUUCAAGUCUCACACCUCUCUUCGUAGGUCUCUCAUCUCAGCCGCCUACGAAGGUCAAAUCCUGCAUAUUUACGCCAAACUUGAGAGUUGACCAAGUGCCUUUCCCAUGCAUCUUCCUGUUUCACCCCAAGCCGAAAGGUUUGGAAAACAUGCCACCCUUUUAACCUCGGAGAGACUUCUGCCUGGGAAAAGAAUUAAGUGAAAUAAACUCUUUUGAGGGCCUGUGAUCA
rnacentral:lncRNA from 1 species